UGUAAGUUGUGUGUAUUAAGUAAUAUUUUUUUUAUUCUUAUUAUGUUGGUUAUAUGUUUUUAUUUUAUUUUUAAACUUGUUGCUUUUACCGGACCAUUAAAACAAAUACAUGAAGACUUGUAGAAAUACCUAUAAAAUGAGUGACAAUUAGUAUUUGGGUCUUAAAGCGAAUAUAUGUAUUUCUCAUAAGAAGACAAUAUCAUUGGCCUGUUGACAUUAAACAUGUAAGCUAUUUUCAUAAGACAAGAGGAGUGAGCAGGUGGAGAUGUUGUUGCCGCCUUUGUAUCUGUUGGGAUUGACUCUUGUAUCUUCUGGUGUGUCUGUGUUUGUUUUUCUUUUAUUUGAUGUGUAAUAUGUAAACAAAAAUCAUUGUUAGUUGUAUUUAUCACAGUUUGUAACUUACUAUGUUUUUUUGUUUAGGUAAUUUCACUGAUCUUGGUUGUCGUCUUCGUCUUCUUCGUAAGCAUCUGUGAAAGUAAGUUUGUAAAUUGUUAAAUAGCUGGCCCUGUAGUUUGUAUUUGUUUAGCUGGUUCAAUGUAUGUGUCGUUGAGUUUUAGUUGAAUUGAUUGGUUUGUUAUAUUUGUUUUGAAGUUUAUUUGUAAGAUUAGACAAAAAGAGAUGUGGUCAUUAAUGAUUCGUCUUUUUUGGGAUUCUAGUUUUUGGUGUUUUGAUUGUUUGGGUUAUUGUGAUUUCUUUUAAGCUGUAAAAUAAAGAUUUGUGUAAAAUUAGAUUGAUAAGUAAGGGAGAUAAAUAUACGACCACAAAUCUUGGGUAGGAAAUAUUUUUGAUUAUUGAUGUUAGCACAAUAUAGACAGUAAUAUAUAGAGAAUUAUGUGUUGAUUAUUUCUUACGGAUCAAUGAAGAGACGGAUAACGACUCGACUUGUUUCUUUGGAGAGGUCAGAGCCCUGGACAGAACGGAUUUGCCCAACCACAUCUGCGAGUUUCGGAUUUGCCCAACCACAUCUGCGAGUUUAAAUAUCAGUUAUGAUAUCAAAACAUAAUAUAAACCUUGAUGCAAUAUGAUAAUAUACCUGGGAGUUCUAGGUUUGUGUUCGCAAUCACUUGGAGAUUUCGAACAGUCUAAUCUUUACUGGAGAUUGAUCUCAGGAGCACCCGUGAUGACUUCAUCAAUAAUG
rnacentral:lncRNA from 1 species